CGGGGCGUAGCGCAGUUUGGUAGCGCACCUGCUUUGGGAGCAGGGGGCCGCAGGUUCAAAUCCUGUCGCCCCGACCA
rnacentral:tRNA from 6 species